AAAUUGAAGAGUUUGAUCAUGGCUCAGAUUGAACGCUGGCGGCAGGCCUAACACAUGCAAGUCGAACGGUAACAGGAAGCAGCUUGCUGCUUCGCUGACGAGUGGCGGACGGGUGAGUAAUGUCUGGGAAACUGCCUGAUGGAGGGGGAUAACUACUGGAAACGGUAGCUAAUACCGCAUAACGUCGCAAGACCAAAGAGGGGGACCUUCGGGCCUCUUGCCAUCGGAUGUGCCCAGAUGGGAUUAGCUUGUUGGUGGGGUAACGGCUCACCAAGGCGACGAUCCCUAGCUGGUCUGAGAGGAUGACCAGCCACACUGGAACUGAGACACGGUCCAGACUCCUACGGGAGGCAGCAGUGGGGAAUAUUGCACAAUGGGCGCAAGCCUGAUGCAGCCAUGCCGCGUGUAUGAAGAAGGCCUUCGGGUUGUAAAGUACUUUCAGCGGGGAGGAAGGGAGUAAAGUUAAUACCUUUGCUCAUUGACGUUACCCGCAGAAGAAGCACCGGCUAACUCCGUGCCAGCAGCCGCGGUAAUACGGAGGGUGCAAGCGUUAAUCGGAAUUACUGGGCGUAAAGCGCACGCAGGCGGUUUGUUAAGUCAGAUGUGAAAUCCCCGGGCUCAACCUGGGAACUGCAUCUGAUACUGGCAAGCUUGAGUCUCGUAGAGGGGGGGUAGAAUUCCAGGUGUAGCGGUGAAAUGCGUAGAGAUCUGGAGGAAUACCGGUGGCGAAGGCGGCCCCCUGGACGAAGACUGACGCUCAGGUGCGAAAGCGUGGGGAGCAAACAGGAUUAGAUACCCUGGUAGUCCACGCCGUAAACGAUGUCGACUUGGAGGUUGUGCCCUUGAGGCGUGGCUUCCGGAGCUAACGCGUUAAGUCGACCGCCUGGGGAGUACGGCCGCAAGGUUAAAACUCAAAUGAAUUGACGGGGGCCCGCACAAGCGGUGGAGCAUGUGGUUUAAUUCGAUGCAACGCGAAGAACCUUACCUGGUCUUGACAUCCACAGAACUUUCCAGAGAUGGAUUGGUGCCUUCGGGAACUGUGAGACAGGUGCUGCAUGGCUGUCGUCAGCUCGUGUUGUGAAAUGUUGGGUUAAGUCCCGCAACGAGCGCAACCCUUAUCCUUUGUUGCCAGCGGUCCGGCCGGGAACUCAAAGGAGACUGCCAGUGAUAAACUGGAGGAAGGUGGGGAUGACGUCAAGUCAUCAUGGCCCUUACGACCAGGGCUACACACGUGCUACAAUGGCGCAUACAAAGAGAAGCGACCUCGCGAGAGCAAGCGGACCUCAUAAAGUGCGUCGUAGUCCGGAUUGGAGUCUGCAACUCGACUCCAUGAAGUCGGAAUCGCUAGUAAUCGUGGAUCAGAAUGCCACGGUGAAUACGUUCCCGGGCCUUGUACACACCGCCCGUCACACCAUGGGAGUGGGUUGCAAAAGAAGUAGGUAGCUUAACCUUCGGGAGGGCGCUUACCACUUUGUGAUUCAUGACUGGGGUGAAGUCGUAACAAGGUAACCGUAGGGGAACCUGCGGUUGGAUCACCUCCUUACCUUAAAGAAGC
rnacentral:rRNA from 1 species